AGAAUCAACGCUGGCGGCGUGCCUAACACAUGCAAGUCGCACGAGAAAGGGACUUCGGUCCUGAGUACAGUGGCGCACGGGUGAGUAACACGUGAAUAAUCUACCUCCGAGUGGGGAAUAACUGAGAGAAAUCUUAGCUAAUACCGCAUAACACUUACGAGUCAAAGCAGCAAUGCGCUUGGAGAGGAGUUCGCGGCAGAUUAGUUAGUUGGCGGGGUAAUGGCCCACCAAGACGAUGAUCUGUAUCCGGCCUGAGAGGGCGCACGGACACACUGGAACUGAAACACGGUCCAGACUCCUACGGGAGGCAGCAGUGGGGAAUUUUGCGCAAUGGGGAAACCCUGACGCAGCAACGCCGCGUGGAGGAUGAAAUCCCUUGGGAUGUAAACUCCUUUCGAUCGGGAAGAUAAUGACGGUACCGAGAGAAGAAGCCCCGGCUAACUUCGUGCCAGCAGCCGC
rnacentral:rRNA from 1 species